AAUAAUAAUUCAUAGAUGAGUUACGUAGAGAAUGAAAUCUAUUAUAAUCUAUGAAUUUAAAAGUCCAUCAUCAUUAUUUUAUCCCUGUAACAUCAAUCAAUAUUCAUCUUGAAUCAAAUAUUCAUCUUUGCACUACGGGCCAAAGAUAUUCAUCAGAAAAUAAUUAAUCUUUGCACUACAGGCCAAAGAUAUUCAGUAAAAUCAUCAUUUAGGACUGAGGAUGAUGAAAAAUAUUUUAAAGAAAACGAAUCCAGUGAAACAAAAAAACAAAUAUUAAGGAUUCGUACUUUAAACAAUCCGAGUUCAAAAAUACUUCAUAAAUAAUCAUAGUGGAGCAAAAUUCAAG
rnacentral:lncRNA from 1 species